UGCUAGUAAUUAAAAAAAGAAACAAACAUAAAAUGUUGGUAACCCUGCACACAGAACUUUCAUUUGUGUUUUCUUUUCUAGAGCCAGGUGAGGGUACAAAACGCGGGUGAGUGUCCCUUGCAGAAGAGCUUUUCCUCCUCCCCAAUACCCCACUUGCUAUUCAACCCCCCCAGCCCUUAUUCUGCCCUGGCGCCCCUCCUCUCCCAAUAUUAACCCUCUCCUUUGCGCUUACUUAGUCCCUCGCCCCUUUGAAUCUCAUGAUCCUCUAAAUAUCAGUUGCUGGGAAUCACAAGUGAGGAGAGUGCAGUUGCACUCAGGUCCUGCUUGCGGGUUUCUGGUAGGUAUCGGGUUGGCCACUGUGAAAACAGGAUGCUGGACUACUAGCCACAACGACUAUGUUCUCCCUCCGCUCUUGUUGGCACUAUGCCUCUGAAUCUCAGUUGCUGGGGAUCGCAAGUGGGGAGAGUUGCUGUUGCGCUCAGAUCCUUCUUGAGGGUUUCCCAUAAUGGGCAUCUGGUUGGCCACUGUGAGAACAGGAUGCUGGACUAGAUGGGCCACUGGCCUGAUCCUGUGUUCUUAAAUUUUCUGCCUAUGGUUUUGUGAAAGUGGGGCACAUCCUUCUGUUGCCCCCAGAAGGAGGCAGGAUCAGCCCUCCGCUCUACAUGAAGAGCCGACUACGUUCUGUUGUGAAGCUUGUGACCCGUUUCUCUAGUUCUUACAGUUUAAACGGCUGCUGGAAAAAUGCUUCCCGGACACGCUAGACAUUACUGGGGAAGUUACUGAGGAAGGUGCCUUUGACGUGAUUCUCCCAGAGACUGGCGAGGUUUUGCACUCUAAGACCAAAGGUGAUGGGUACGUGGACACCAAUGAAAAGGUAAAUAAAAUCUGUAGCGGCAUCAAGGCUACCCUGAACACCAGGUCCAAAUGCAGUAACGUGCAAGAAGCGGCGUCGGCAUUAUUAACAGAACAAGAACCAGCUGUGGAACAGGGGCUGGAGGUGAAAGAAGGGCAGGCGAUGCCAGAAGCUGCGACAGAUGCAGUCCCCCUUGCCUCGACUUGAAGCCACCCCUCAAGCAUCAAGAUGUCCAGGACGUGAAGGCUGCUGGGGAGCAGGUCAUGAAGGAAUCGUCCGAAAGGGUGCAGCGACCUUGGCCGAUCCCCGAUAACCCCCCUGGCCCUCCCCUGCUAAGUUCCCCCCACCUACCUGC